rnacentral:lncRNA from 1 species
AAUACACAGAUAGAAAGCAAGCCCAGAAAAAAGAUGUUCUUAUUCAUUUGAUCCUCUUUUUAAAGGCCAAACAGUUACACAAUCAUUUUGACAAGCCUUUAACUCUUUAACAGGGGAUCAGGAAAAUUCUAAAGAUGUUACAUUUCAGUCCUACAAUGGCUGAAUCAAACGCGGUAUGUUUCAUAUACAGUUUGCAAGGACAAGGCCAAUAAGCUGCAAUCAGAAUACCUCAGCUGUGUUUCAGGAGAAAGGUUAUUUACUGGGGUCAGUUUUUAUCCCUGAAAAAUUGGUUUUCUUUUGGAAAUUGCCCUCUCUGGAAAUAUGAUUUGCUUUUCAUAAAAAUAUCCUUGAUGCUAUUUUUAUUAUUUUUCUCUCACACACUAUGUUUUAUGAUCCAUUGUGCCAGUGGCCUGGGUUUUGCCAGCCAUGAAACAUUUCGAGAAGUAACCCCUGGGGGUAGCAAAGGAUGGCCAUCUGUAGAUGAUGCAUAAAAUCUGUAAUCUGGCAGAAAUCAGCUAAUUAAUUAGACCCACCUUGAUGUUUAUAUUCUAUAUCUAAAAAUGUUUGUUUUAGUAAUGGUUGCCAACCACUGAAGCAAUUCGAAGACCUAAAAACUCUUAAAAUUUAUUUUCAGAUCAGUGGAAUGAACACGAGUAUGCUGCCCGAAUUUCCAAGUUUAGUAAACAUGUCUCCCCAGUCCAGUGGCGCUGGAUGAGAAGGGUCACCAGGCCACUUCACUAGGGUUGACAGUGGACCUGCUGAUGUCAGCACCCGCUAAUCUCCCAAGGUAUGAAUACAACGAAGGUGACAGCAGAGAUAAGCGCACCCUCGGGGCAGCAGAAGGGCCUCCCGAGGGCAUCCAGAGGAGCAGAUCCCUGGGGAGGUGACCCACAUUCUCCUUGUGCAUUGCUAUGCCCUGUCUCUGUGACCCUAGGAAGGGCUCCGACAAGCCCAGGAGGAGACAACCCCUGGCAGCAGAGAGGCCAGCUGGCUUAUCCUCUCACAGACCUUUGGAUGUGUUAAUGCAACGUUCCCAUCAGAUGAACAAGAACAACUGAAGUGACCAAAACGUGUCAGGGCUUCCCCUCCCUCUGGACAGACUGAAGCAGGCAGUGCCCUGCUCUGGAGCAUGGGAUGACCAAGGGUUAAUGCAACCCAGGCUCUCAGAGUUGCAGCAAGGAUUUCCUUCUCAUCACAUCUCAGCGUUCUGGAAGCAGACUGACACCUUUUUAAGUUGGAAACAGUUUCAUUCAUUUUUCAGAUGGUAAAAGUGUGGGACCAGUUGCAUGGAUUCCAGAAGAGUUUAAGGAGUGCGGAUGUUUGAGAAUCCCUGCUGUCUAAAGGAUCCUUAGAAAGGGUGAUCCAUCCACCAAGAUCCCACAGAGAGCCUUGGGGUUGGAGGGAACAAACCCUGAUAAGUAUUAAAUUCCAUGGUGAACGUGGGAAAUGUGCCUUUUCACUGAACUCUUUGAAGAAGCCUAAGCUACACAAUGCUAUUAUUAUUUUGGGGGAUAAGGGACUUGGCUAAGAGAUUAAAUCAUGUGAGCAGUCUAUGCAGAGCUCAGGAACUGGGGCCAGGGUUCUGACUCCACUUUCUGCUGCCUACAGGAAGCCAGGCCUAGGUUCCUCACUUCCUGUGGGUUGCUUUACAGACUCUACCAUUGAAAUCAAUUCUUUAAACGUUUGAGUAUGAUAGAGACGGUACAUUCCAAAAAGGACAAAAUUUACUCUGCCAAGUAGUACCUAACUCAGUAGGAAUGAUAAAGAUUGUUCACUUGCCCUGGGAGUUCACGUUGAGGAACUAAGGGUAAGAUGUAGAGGAGAGAUCCGGGCCAGGGCCCUGCUGCAGUUUCCAUUUCAGGCCACUCAGGACCCCUUCUCUUCUCGCCUGUCCCCUUAAAAAUAUGUAAAUACACUUGUAAAUAGAGUUAAAAGAGAUUCAGAGCCAGGAGGUAAUGGGCUGGAGGGUUGGAGAGGGAGGGACGAGGUCGGGAAGGGCGGAAUGAAUCCUUUGAAGGGGAGGUGACCCAGAAGAAAGGCCUACCCUCUCUGGUAUCAUCCUUGGCAGGGAGGGGGGGUGCCUCUUUCAUUCCCCCCCCCACCCCGGGGGGACUUUCCCCGCUUUCCAACACUCAUUUACCUCCAUCAUUUGUCCCUGGCUCUUCCACCCUCUUCACCUCCCUCCGGCACCCUGGGGGGAACAGAGGCGAGCCUGCUAGGCUCUUAAGUGAGGUGGGGAGGGGAGGGGAUGCUGGAGCUGGGUAUCACCCCCCAGGACGAAGCUGGCCAGGUCCUCACAGCCGCUGCGCCAGGAGCUUCUCAUUGGGACGUCCUCCUCCAGGACGGAUGGGUCUUUUGGGCGCUGGGCUCAAUGGAAAUGCUCUGUGGUUCAGAGCUCUCUCCUGCUCCAACAGGCAGGACACCAGAAGGCUAGGGUUGCUUUGUUGCUGCAGCAGCAGAGACUUGAAACGGUGGGCGCGUUAGGGCAGGUUUAUGAAAGCACAGGUACACUGGGAGGCAAUGAUAAGGAUCUGGUAAUUCUUGUCUUGGCCAGAGGCUUUGAGUAGAGUCUCUUUGAGGGGGACUCGAAGUUAACAUUCUUCCUUCUUUCUCUUGGGGCAAGUCUUUGGCCCCUUUGAACACCCUGCUCAUGUUUCCCUCUAUGGCAUCUGGGAACCCAGAUUAUAAGGGAAGAGGGGCGACAACCAUUCUGGCUGCUUCCUGCUGAACGUGGGUGUUGCAGGGCUCUGGGUUCCUUCUGCCUGCUCUCAGGGCAUUCCUGAAGAGGGCGGUGUGGCCCCACGGGGCGCUGUGAUGGCUUUUUUCAACAUUGUCAGGUGUUGAUUGGUUGAUAUCCCCACUGUAUAUCAUUUGGAGACUUGUUUGUUGUAUUCUAGAAGAAACAAACUUAACCGGCCGAUGAAAAGUUGAGGCCAAAGAUCAGAAAGAGAAUUAUUGUAAUGAAGCCACUUAGUGUAGUCAUCUGUUUAACAUAAGUGUAACAGAUGCAGUCAGGAACAAUUGGAGAAGUGACGGUCUGAGUGUUGAUAGACAGAGGAGAUCCCACUUUUUCUAGAAUAAGUCUGAAAGCCAACCUGGACCUGGCACUUUGAGGGGACUUGUGAGGUCCAGCUUUCUCUGUAGCACAGGAGCCCGCCCUUGGCUGCAUGCCCUGCCCCUGCCUGUUACCCACCCUGCCACCAGGCUGCACAUAGAAGGCCUAUGAGCUCCAACUCUCAGCGGAUCACCCCACAUCCCUCCCACCCUCACCCUGCAGUGCUCCUGGCUGCCUCCCCCCAACCCUCCUGCCCCUCACUGGGUCUCCUACCAGCCAGCAUCCUUGCCCCCUACUCCCUACGCACUGCACCCUAGGUUCUCAGUGGCUUCUUGGCCAUCCAGAGGAAAUCAACCUUGACCAUUUGGUCAAGGACCCCAUCUUCCUGUGCUGCCUCCAUCACCUGGUUGCACUUCUAAUGGGCAGAUGAGCCCCGCCGCCCCACCCAGCCUUUGAUAAAAUAGCGUGAAAAUUCCUGUCUUCUUUGUCAGUGCAGGGACCAAAAGCCAAAACCAAAACAAAGUAACUGGAAGCAAAUGAAUGAUUGAAAGCGAGAAAAUUAGAAUAUCAGGAUGGAAUUUGAAGCACAUUCCUGUAGCAGCUGUCAACAUUUAAUGUGGAUUUAGAAGAAAAGAUUACAAUUUGAGGACCUUGGAAUACAGGAUGAGUCAAUGUUUUGAUAAAAUAUUUCCCAUUAAACCUUUCCCAUCAAUCUGCCCCACCGGCCCACCCUCCAAACACACCUAUAUCCCUAUUUCUUAGUACUUAACUUUUAAAACCAAUGUCUUUACAGUGAAAUUAAAUUGAAAAAUACUUCAGUUGGUUAAACUAGGUUUUCCCUAGUUCAUUUUUUAAGUUCUUUCUUCAAAAGCAUCUCCCUUUCCGUUCUUGGUGUCGGAAAUGGUUUUUUCAUUUAGAAAAGGAGAGAAAAGUAGAGACCAGAAGUCCCAUGUGAGGCUGAUGGGGGUGCACUUAGAGGGCCCAGCUCUUCAGUGGGGGAGCGCAUGGGGGUGGAGACCAAGGUCAGGUUUGCCUCCUCCCGCCACACCAGGUAGGGAGGGGAGCCCUCAUUCCGAUAACUGCACCUGCGCGUAUGGAGUGCGCACGGCCGGAGGGAGAUGGCAAGCGCCCAUCCAGAGACGCCUAUGCGUGGAGCAUGUAGAACCGUGGCCCAGCGAGGAUGUUCUGUAAACAUUCUACAUACCGUGCUGAUUUUUAGCCAUUUACUGCAGGAACCUGCUCAUAUUUUUGUACAUUAUUUAUUCAUUCGGAUUUAUUAAAUUCCUACUUUGUUCCAGCUUAGGUUGUGUGCCGAGCAUUUAAAGGUGAACAAGACUCAUUUCCUCCUUCAAGGACAUCCUUGUCUAGUACAGAGACAUAGACGUGAAAAUGGUUUUAAAUGUAUUUCGAUUUUUUUCUUUCCCACAGGUACCCUCCUGUGUUUAAUUGUGGAUGUGAUUCGUACAAGUUCUGCAGGAACACAGAGAGAUGGUGGUGAAGUUAGAUAUAGAAGGUGGGAGCUCAGGGUGAAAAUUCUGGGCCAGAAAUAGAGGUUUGAAGGUCCUCACACAUAAGAAAAGGUUACCAUCAUCAGAGGAAUUGAGAUGACCCAGGAAGAAUAUGUGUAAUGACGAGAGAACAGAGUAAGGACGUAAUUUUAGAGAUUUUAAGUGCCUUGAAAGAUGAAUUUGAGGAGGGUACCAGUUUAUAGUCAGAGGUGACUCAUGUGGUUAGAUGCUACUAAACGUUUGUUUCAAAAGGUGGAAUUAUCAAGUUUGGUCAUUCCUUCCACUCGUGACUCAAGCAAGUCAUAAACAUCCAUCAUAUGUUCGACAUAGUGCCAGACCCCACAGCUAUCUGUGCCAUAAAACAAAGCCCUGCCCUCUUGGGACUUAUGUAUUUGCCAACAUAAAUCUAACCUGAAACAACUGAAAGAUUCUAUGAGAUGCCAGAAUGAGGGUCGCCAAAGCAGUAUAAGACACUGAACACAAUUAAGUGAAAACCACCAUGCAAUCAGGAAUGUCUUUAUGGAAAAAAAGCAUGAAACAAUGCCAUUUGCAGCAAUAUGGAUGGACCUAGAGAUUAUCAUACAAAGUGAAGUAAGUCAGACAGAGGAAGAUAAAUAUCAUAUGACAUCACUUAUAUGUGGAAUCUAAUAAAAAUGAUACAAAAGAACUUGUUUACAAAACAGGAACAGACUCAAAGAUUUCAAAAUCAAACUUACGGUUACCAAAGGGGAAAUGUGGGGGUAAGAGGAGAGAGAAAUUGGGAGUUUGGGAUUAACAUAUACCUAUCACUAUGUAUAAAAUAGAUAACCAACAAGGAUCUGCUGUAUAGCACAGGGAAAUCUACUCAGUAUUCUAUAAUAACCUAUAUGGGGAAAGACUCUGAGAAAGAAUGAAUGUAUGUAUAACGGUUUCACUUUGCUGUACACCUGAAACUAACACAACAUCGUACGCCAACUAGACUCCAAUAAUCU